UACAGGGGGUGCAAACGUUGCUCGGAAUCAUUGGGCGUAAAGCGCACGUAGGCGGUUCGUUAUGUCGGAUGUGAAAGCCCUUGGCUUAACCGAGGAAGUGCAUCCGAAACUGGCGAGCUAGAGUACGAAAGAGGAUCGCGGAAUUCCCGGUGUAGAGGUGAAAUUCGUAGAUAUCGGGAGGAACACCGGUGGCGAAGGCGGCGAUCUGGGUCGAUACUGACGCUGAGGCACGGAAAGCUAGGGGAGCAAACAGG
rnacentral:rRNA from 1 species